GAUGAAGAACGUAGCGAAAUGCGAUAAGUAAUGCGAAUUGCAGAAUUCAGUGAAUCAUCGAAUCUUUGAACGCGCAUUGCGCCCGCCAGUAUUCUGGCGGGCAUGCCUGUCUGAGCGUCAUUUCAACCCCUCGCAACCGGUUCGCAUUCGCGCGCCCGGGGGCGGUGUUGGAGAUCGGCCGCCCCUCGCGGGUGGCCGGCUCCCAAAUCCAGUGGCGACCGCGCCGUAGCCUCCUCUGCGUAGUAGUAACUCACCUCGGGGGUCGGAGAGCGGCGCGGAUCCUGCCGUAAAACCCCCAACUUCACAAGGUUGACCUCAGAUCAGGUAGGAAUACCCGCUGAACUUAAGCAUAUCAAUAAGCGGAGGA
rnacentral:misc_RNA from 1 species